UACGUAGGGUGCGAGCGUUGCCCGGAUUUAUUGGGCGUAAAGAGCGUGUAGGCGGCUGGGUAGGUCCGUUGUGAAAACUCGAGGCUCAACCUCGAGACGCCGAUGGAAACCCUCCAGCUAGAGUCCGGAAGAGGAGAGUGGAAUUCCUGGUGUAGCGGUGAAAUGCGCAGAUAUCAGGAAGAACACCCGUGGCUAAGGCGGCUCUCUAGUACGGUACUGACGCUGAGACGCGAAAGCGUGGGGAGCGAACAGG
rnacentral:rRNA from 1 species